rnacentral:lncRNA from 1 species
AACAAAGUAUCUGAGGUAAUUAUAAAGAGAAAAGGGUUAUUUUGGCUCUCAGUUUUGGAGGCUCAGACCAACAGACCAAAUUGCUUUUGGGCAUGUGACAAGGUAGCACAUUGUGGCAGAAGCACAUGGUGGAGCAAAACUGCUUGCAUCAUGAGCCAGGGAGCACAGGAGAAAGAGGAAUAGGCCAUGGUCCCACAAUUCCUUCAACGACAUCCCCCCUAUAACCCCCCAAGGACCUCCUGUGAAGCAUCACCUCCAGAAUAUCACCCCACCUCCUAACAGUGCCAACUGGGAACCAUGCCUUUAACACAUGGGCCUUUGGGGACACUCAACAUCCAAACCCUGGAGUGAGCUCUGGGUGGGGCCCAUUCCACAUUUACAGUCAUAGGAAUAUCGGUCAGUGAUCUCCUUAGUCUGUUUUCAGCUUCAAUCAAAACUCUGCCUGAUUGAAAAACAAUAUAAGAAAUUGGCCUUAAUUACCUGAAAGCUUUUUACAUAAGUUCCUUAGAAGGUUAUUUAUAGCAGAGCCAUUUAAUAUCAUUAAGGUAAUUUCAUGUGCAUUAAAAAAAAAACUUUUUAAAAACUCUAGUGAAGGCUUAAAAUGACUUUCCUAAUUUUUUAGAUUUCACUUGCUUAAAAUAUUGUUUAAAAUUAAACUUUGAAAAAAAGCAUGGAUAGCAAAUUAAGACAACAAAUGGGCCAAGGACCUGAACAGACACUUCUCAGAGGAGGACAUACAAUCAAUCAACAAAUACACGAAAAAAUGCUCACCGUCUCUAGCAAUCAGAUAAAUGCAAAUUAAAAUUACUCUAAGAUACCAUCUCACUACAGUAAGAUUGGCAGCCAUUAUGAAGACAAACAACAACAAGUGUUGGCAAGGAUGCAGGGAAAAAGGUACGCUCAUACAUUGCUGGUGGGACUGCAAAUUGGUGCAGCCAAUUUGGAAAGCAGUAAGGAGAUUCCUUGGAAAGCUGGGAAUGAACCACCAUUUGACCCAGCUAUUCCCCUUCUUGGACUAUACCCAAAAGACCUAAAAAGAGCAUAAUACAGGGACACAGCCACAUCAAUGCUUAUAGCAGCACAAUUCACAAUAGCUAGACUGUGGAACCAACCUAGAUGUCCUUCAAUGGAUGAAUGGAUAAAAAAAAAUGUGGCAUUUAUACACAAUGGAAUAUUACUCAGCACUAAAAAUUAACAAGAUCAUGGCAUUUGCAGGGAAAUGGAUGGCAUUAGAGCAUAUUAUGUAAGUGAAGUUAGCCAAUCCCUAAAAAACAGAGGCCGAUUGUCUUCUCUGAUAAAAGGGGUGACUACAAUGGGAUAGGGAAGAGACCAUCGUUAUACAGAUUACAUAUAUGAUGAUGUGAGG